rnacentral:lncRNA from 1 species
UGCUUAUCCAUUCUUUUGAUCUAAAUCUUACUUUUUUGUGUAGUUCAGCUUGGUAAAAACUCACUUGAAAUUAAAUAUAUUUGUUCUUCUGUUUAACAAAUACAUUUGAGUUCAUGCUCUGAUCGGAGGAAUGAUUUUAACCUACAUGGAGAAGCAGACAUACAGACAUGCAGACAUGUGGAAGGCACUUGGGGAAGUCACAGGUUCACGUUCUAGAAUAAGACAGGAUGAAAGAAACACUGCUGCUGAGAUACAGGGCCGGAGUGGGAGCAGUUAGAGGACCUAGGGAUUGUUGUGGAGGUUUUGAAAAGUGGAAAAAGAAUGUCAGACAAGGAGCAGUGUGCAUAUGAAGGCAUGUCAUUGGUGUGUUGUAUCAGUGUCCCCUUGCUAUGAAGGCAUGUGAAGAGCUGAAACAUCAUCAAGUAAGGUGUGCACACUUGAUUUUGGCAGCAGAAACCUGUUAAGUAUUCU